CUCUGGGUGUUCCUCUGCUACAAUCUGUGUGGCCUGUCGAGGACUUUUCUGAGCAAGUGAACGAGAAAACACUUCCCCUGUAAGUGGCACCAGAAUGUUCCUGUGGUUGAAGAACCAUCCCCAGGCCCCGGCCCCAGGCCACGCUGUUCCGUCCUGUGUCCUGGGGCCUGUCCUGCUCGCUUUCAUCCGGCAGAUAAGCAGCGGCCUCGGAGGCUGGCCCGCAGGAAGGGGAGGAAGAGGCCUGCUUCUGAGUCAUCCUGUUAUCACAGCGUUUGAACGAGGGGACAGCACGAAAUCCUUUCUCGUGCUCGAGGCUUCCUGUCGGCGUUUGCUGGAGUUUCGGCUCUUUUUUUGGCUGGAGAAAAGUUGCUGUUUUUGUCCUGCUUCCUGUGGCUCUUCAUAAACCGAAAGGACGUGCUCCAGGUUCAGGGCCAGUGACCCUGGUUUAAGGGAAAAGAACGCGCUUGGGCUCCGUCGGGGCAGGGCCGAGGGCCUGCCCUGGGCCUGCAGCUGCGCUCUCCCUGCCGGCUGGGCCCGGGGCUCCCGGGGGCCUCGGGGGCCUCCGGCUCCCUCACCAGCUGGGAACCGUCUCCGUGGCUCUGCCCUCGCCAUCCGUGCAACCGGCGGAGGUGUUGGAACGGCUCUCCCACCAGUUGGGCUCAGCCUGGUCAGUGAAGCAGCCUGACACGUGCGCUGGUCCCCUUGCAGACCCAGACGCGCCCCGGGAGGGGAGGCCGCGGCUGUUGAGGGGCCGGGACGCGGGUGGGACGCCUGAGGGCCUGGGCCCCCGCCCCUCCACUGCGAGCCGAGCAGGCAGCUUCGCAAGGCCUGAUUUGUCAUAGAGAAGAAGGUCACUCUUUGCAAGGCUAAACUAAAACCAUUUACAGUUUUUCUGCACGUAGUUUAUAGUCAUUUUUCUGUCCAAAACCUUAGGCUUUUGUAUUUUUUAAUUUCACUGUUACUCCUGAUUAUUGUCUUUUUUAUUGAGAUGUUGGAGAAGCAGGAGAUAGUUGUGCCUCAUCUAUUACUACAAAAACCUAACAAUAAACUUCCUUAAACUAAGAUACUUUCCUCAUAGUUCCACCAUUUACACACAAAGACACGUGUAUGUGUUUCACUGAAAUAUUUUUUUAACCCUCCUGUUUGUAGACAACUUGUUUCACAGAUACUGCGUUGUGGCUUUGUAAUUUAUAGAGAUCGCUAGAGUCCUUCUUUUUAUAGUUCUUUUACUUCUUUGAUAAAAGAAGAAGGAGUCAGGUAAUUUGAACUCCAAGACCAAGAAAUAAUCUUGCAACAAGAUGACGGGUUGUGACCAACUCUGGCAUCCUGGAGACAGACACUCGCCACCUUGGUGUCGUAAGUGUGGGCACCGUUUUCUGGAGCCUGGGGUGAACGGCUCACGGCUUACACUUUGCCCAGCCCUUUGGCAUCGGUCGAGGGGCUGGUUUGAUGAUCUGACCUCUUUCAGUCUCUGGAUAUUUGUUAAAAUAGAUCCUUAAUUUUUCUUCAAUAGAAAAUACCACUCAGCGUUCAAAGCCAACAGUAAUUUUUCGGUCCCAGAUAUUCAGAGCAGAUAGAUAACUGUAACCCUGAUGCUCCUUGAAGCUUCAUUAUUCGCCGAUCAGUUUAUUUCCACGUGGGACACGCAGGAGAGCCGCCACAGACACUGUGAGUGCACAAGCCCCCUGGACACGCCUGCAGCUCAGGGAAGAGCGCCAGACACACGUAGCAACACGCGUGUGUGUGUGUGUGUGCAGGGCGGGGGAGGGGGGCCUCCUGCUGCCCUGAACCUGGGAGCCGGGGGUGGGGCUGAGGAGAGGCCCGGUGAUGGACCUGGAUGUGCCCGGAGGCCAGAGGAAGGGAGGGUGGGGAUUCUUCAGCCGCCGCCCCCUCUACUGUCCCCACCGCAAACCUGAGAAGCUGCUGACACAAAGCACGAGUGACUCCCAGUCAUUGGCAGCUCAUCCUGCUCAGGAUCCUCUUCUGGAGAAGGAACGUAGGUCCCGCACGGGGGUCACGGCCAGGGCAGGGCACGUGGGCGCCGCAGAGCCCCUCCCCCAGAGAAACCUGUGCCCUUCCUUGUCCACGUGGAUGGGGGCCAGCUGCUCUGUCGAAGCUGGUCCACGUGGGGGUGCUUAGCUCUGGCCCCCACGUGGGGUCACCUGAGGGGCUUUGCAGAGGCCCUGGGCAGAGCCACGCAGAGCCCGUCCUGCCCAGACGUCUCACGUCGGCACCGGGCAGGCUGUGCCGCUGGGACCCAGAGCCGUGGAGCAGAGCGCCUGCCUGGGAGGGAGGGCCCUCCGGGCCGGGGGUCCUGUGUCUCGCGUGGGGAGAAUGCUGGUCGCCGGUGUCGUGGCCGCUGGGUCCUCCCUUGCUGUGACCACUCACCUCGGGAAGGACGUGACGGCAGGUGUUCCCACUGAGCCUCUGACAACCUGGGGGGCCGUCCUUUCAGCACCACUUUCUCCACCCUUUCUGGAAGCUUCGCCAGGGGCACUCAGCACCCUCCUUCUUCAGGGAUGCUGGGAGAUUUAGGAAACGGUGUGAAGGAAGAGGCAGACCCUUCUCGAGUCGGCCUGGUUUGCACAGCAGCCUAGGGAUGGGUGGGCCUUGUGUGUGGGUCCUGCGUUUGGGGCGCCGGUCCUGAUGCAGAGGGUGCUGCUGGGCCUGCAGCUAGGAGAGGGCCUGCUCCUGCUGGUGGCAUCUUUGAGGCACCAGCCAGGGCCUCCUGAGACAGUUCCGGGGGCCACACUUGCUGUGUUCAGGGCCCUUCUCGGCAGGUGGUGCUGCUGGGCGCCGAGUUAGGGAAGGGCGAGGCCGAGCUCACGGUGAGGGCAGGUGGGGGCACCCUGCGGGCGUGGCCGGGCUCCUCCUGCCCCAGGGGCCCUGCUGUCAGUCUUCUGCUGGAGAAGGACUUGAGGUCCCCAGAGGGCUGCUCUUCCUCUGCCCGCUCUCCCUCCAGAGGGCUCCAGAGCCCGGAGGCUGGGUAUCUGCUAGCGCCCAGGAUGGCCCUUUCCAGGCGGCGGUUGGGGGUUCCACAGGGCGGUUGGUAUCUCCUCAGGCAAAAACCUCCUUCUGAGCACAGCAGGUCCCUCCCUGCCUGGGGCGCAGGAUGACAUGGGUUUACUCCUGGCACGGCUCCUGGGGCAGACCCGACAGUGGCCACGAGCCGGGAGCCCCAGGAGCGCGGAGCUCACGCCAGAAGGAGCAGGGUGUGGCCAGAACCAAGCAGGUACCCGGCAGGAUGGGCAUUGCCAGGAGCGGGCGUCCGAGGGGGGUGAGGAUGGGGACAGGGGCACUCCAAAUGAGACCCCUGCCUGUCAAGUGGUACGUGCACGGCGGCAAGGCCAGCCAGCUGGCCAGGGUGUGGAGUGGCCGGGAGAGGCCAGGCUGUGUCACCUGUUCCUCAGACCCAGACACCUCAGCACGCUGUCAUGAGGUCCUCAUUACAGGGGACCUGAGGACCCUGCAGCUGCCACCACGAGCGGCUCACUUCACAAGUGCCAGCCUGGCCCCACCUGCAAGCUGGGUUCUCCGCUUCCACGCUGGUUACCAAGGUAGUUUUUCUUCUGGUGGUGGGGUGUGUGUGUGUGUGUGUGCAAAACACAGACCAAAGUGAAACCCUAGAGCUGGGCCGCAGCUGGGAGGGCCGAGAGCAGCCACUGGGGGUCCUGGACAGGCCCCAGCGCCUCCCGGCCGCGAGCAGCUCGGACCCGAGGGCCAGCAGGGCGGAGACAGCCGGGCUGCGCUGGGCCAGGGUCGUCCUGCUCUGUCUGCUCCAGGCUUGUCACUCGGGCGCCUUUUUCUUAACACUAAAUUCACUUUAUUUUGUACUUUUAAAAGCUGAGUAUUUCCCCUGAGCCAACAUAACCCCAGCCGUUCCGUCGAGCUGGAGGUUUCCCUGCGGGAGGGCACCUCCUGGCAGGUGGCCAGCCAGCAUGGACCGUGCAUCCCGCCGGCUCAGGCGGGGGCACAGGAGUGCGGCCCUGUGCUGUGUGUCAGGGCACACAGGCUUUGGCUCCAGCUCAGGGCAGGUCCAGGGGCUCGCCUCCAACACCUGACUUCAGGAGGGCUCUGGAGGGGGCUGAGACGGGCUGCCAGGAGGCCCCACUAUGUGAUCUGUGGCCUCCACCAUGAGUGGUGACAGAGCCUGGUGGCCUCCUCAGCGGCCUGGGCGCUUCGAGGGGGCUCUCGGGGCUGCGGUGCACCAGAGCUGCUGAACUCUCUGUCCUGGGCGCCCCACCCCCUCUGUUCAGUGCCUUGUUCAGUGCCUUGUUCCCAGGGCGGCCUCCCACAGCCUUGGGGAGACACAGGGGGUCUCCCCACCACCGUCUGUCCAACUGCCCUCAAAAGCAGCCCUCACCGUGGGCAGAGAGCCCUGUCACUCAGGGGUCUUGGGAAAGUGUUUGCAACCAGGCUUGGCCUGACAGCCAGACUAACAAAGCCGGGCCUCUGUGGCUUCCCUCCUCCCCGGGCUGUCCGGAUGAACCUGGAGCCUUUUCCAGGGUCACCUGCAGCCAGGGGGUCAGAGCCCUCGCUGCCUUGGCGGGCGGGGGGGGGGGCUCGCGCGGCCUGGGAAACGUGCGCCAUUCUCCCCGUGUCUUGGCUGUUAGGCUCUUUACCAGGCCUGCUUGUGAAGACAUUUACAGCAGGUGCCUAGGGAGCCCGUCCUCUAGAAUCGAAACACGUCCCCUUUGACCUACCAUGCAAAUCGCAGAACAUUCCAAGUGUCCUUCAGUCCGUUCAGACCCGCUCUCAUUGGCCGGCGUGUCACUCUCUCGACCCGAGUGCAGCCAGGAAGUCAGUGUUGUACCCUCAGCCCCCUCCUGGCUGCCUUGCGCCGCAGCCCCCGGGGUGCCUGGGGGACCCCAGAACAGGGACAAGGCAGUGGUGGCCGUCGGCCAGUGCGUCCACUGCAGAAGCAGCUUCGAGCUGUCCCAGGGUGUCUACACACUGAAAGGAGAUUCCGGGGACAGCCCAGGGCCCGGUCCUGGGCACCUCCCCUGGGGUGUCGCUGCUCCAACCCCGCCUGUGACGCGGGGACGGGCCUCCGUGAAUGGAUGCCGUGUUCCAGGCUGACGGAUCCAUUCUGCAGUGUAAAAAGGAUUGUAUAGCUGCGGUGGGUCGUUUAACGUGCUCUGUAUAUGU
rnacentral:lncRNA from 1 species